rnacentral:rRNA from 1 species
UGAGCAACCUGCCCUUGACCCUGGAAUAACAGCUGGAAACAGCUGCUAAUACCGGAUACGACCUCCGAUGGCAUCAUCUGGAGGUGGAAAGCUCCGACGGUCAAGGAUGGGCUCGCGGCCUAUCAGCUUGUUGGUGAGGUAACGGCUCACCAAGGCUUCGACGGGUAGCCGGCCUGAGAGGGCGACCGGCCACACUGGGACUGAGAUACGGCCCAGACUCCGUAGGGACGG